GUCCACGCCGUAAACGAUGUGUGUUUGUCGCUGGAAGGUUUACCUUCCGGUGACGUAGCUAACGCGUUAAGCACACCGCCUGGGAAGUACGGUCGCAAGAUUAAAACUCAAAGGAAUUGACGGGGACCCGCACAAGCGGUGGAGUAUGUGGUUUAAUUCGUCGCAACGCGAAGAACCUUACCAGGCCUUGACAUACCGAUUAAGGGAUUCAGAGAUGAGUCCUGUCAGUUCGGCUGGAUCGGAUACAGGUGAUGCAUGGCUGUCGU
rnacentral:rRNA from 1 species